GAAAAGGUGUAAGGCUGGGGGACCUCCUGCCACUCGUGCGUCUUACCAGAACAGGUUCGACGGUGAGGGACGAAAGCUGGGGGCACGAACCGGAUUAGAUACCCGGGUAGUCCCAGCCGUAAACGAUGCUCGCUAGGUGUCAGGCAUGGCGCGACCGUGUCUGGUGCCGCAGGGAAGCCGUGAAGCGAGCCACCUGGGAAGUACGGCCGCAAGACUGAACA
rnacentral:rRNA from 1 species